UGCCAGCCGCCGCGGUAAUACGUACUGUGCGAACGUUAAUCGGAAUUACUGGGCGUAAAGCGCGCGUAGGUGGAUUAUUAAGUCAGGUGUGAAAGCCCAGGGCUUAACCUUGGAACUGCCUUUUAAACUGUCAGUCUAGAGACCGGAAGAGGUAAGGGGAAUACCUAGUGUAGAGGUGAAAUUCGUAGAUAUUAGGUGGAACACCAGUGGCGAAGGCGCCUUACUGGUCCGGUACUGACGCUGAGGAACGAAAGCGUGGGGAGCAAACAGGAUUAGAUA
rnacentral:rRNA from 1 species